rfam:Gossypium hirsutum cultivar TM-1 chromosome 19, whole genome shotgun sequence
UGAUAAAAUUUUCAUCAUUUUCUACUAUUAAAAAUGUGCAUGGUUGACAGAAUAACUAGACAGUUAUACGUGUGUGCCAUGUGUACCUCGUGCUAAUGUACAUGGACUUGUUAAUAAGUAGAAAUUGAUGAAAUUUUUAAUA